AAAGGGAGCAACUCGUAGAAGAAUUCGAUCUUUUGGUUUAUCCUAGAAUAGAAUAGGCUCUUAGCCAGCUCGAGAAUUCACUCUUUUUUGAGAUGAGACAUUUAGGAUUGAGCUUUCCUUUCACGCUUUCACUAAGGAACAGAUGGGAUACUUAAUUAAGAAAGUUUCUUAACGGGUUAAGGCUAACCUCUUCUCAAUUCAAAAGGACUAUUAGCUUUCAGUAAAGGAGCAAGGCCAUCUAAGCCAAGCUAGCCCACAGCAUUACUACUACCAAAGCCAAUCCCAGGAAAGGUACGAGACUAUGCUAUCUACGAGUGGGUGGGACAUGAAAACCCGGGAAUUUUGUCCAUUCGGCUCUUUCCUUUAAUAAGUUAAAUAAAA
rnacentral:misc_RNA from 1 species